rnacentral:rRNA from 1 species
UUGUUGCAGUUAAAAAGCUCGUAGUUGGACCUUGGGCAGGAGGCACGGGUUGGCCGAAUGGCUCGACUCGGGUCUCCGGCCUCUAUGGGUGGUCGUGCCUUUGGUACGGUUCGCCCGGGUUACUGUGGAGAAAUUAGAGUGUUUAAAGCAGGCGAUUGCUUGGAUACAUCAGCAUGGAAUAACAAGAUAGGACCUGGUUCCACUUGUUGGUUUGGGGGCUUUGGUAAUGAUUAAUAGGGCCAGUUGGGGGCAUUAGUAUUCAGUAGUCAGAGGUGAAAUUCUUGGAUUUACUGUAGACUAACUAGUGCGAAAGCAUUUGCCAAGGAUGUUUUCAUUAAUCAAGAACGAAAGUUAGGGGAUCGAAGACGAUCAGAUACCGUCGUAGUCUUAACUAUAAACGAUGCCGACUCGGGAUCGGCAGACGUCGUUAGCGACACUGUCGGCACCGUGUGAGAAAUCAAAGUUUUUGGGUUCUGGGGGGAGUAUGGUCGCAAGGCUGAAACUUAAAGGAAUUGACGGAAGGGCACCACCAGGAGUGGAGCCUGCGGCUUAAUUUGACUCAACACGGGAAAACUCACCAGGUCCGGACAUAGUAAGGAUUGACAGAUUGAGAGCUCUUUCUUGAUUC